UCCCUGAUGGUCCAGUGGUUUGGACCUUACCUUCCAGUGCAGAGGGUACAGGUUCAAUUCCUGGUCAGGGAG
rnacentral:tRNA from 1 species